UCCCCCCUUUUUCCCCUUUCCCUUCUUUCUGGUUGUCGCAACCAGAGGCUGGAGUCCAGGAGCCAGACGCCACCGUCGACGACGACCCCUACUACACCGAAGGUGCCUACUACUACGUGCUGUCCGCUGACGACGACCUGGAGUAGUUUAGGAGGAUCCCAGGCAGGAGGCCUGCGCCUCUUUCGAUCUGUAUCCCAGUUUGUGCUAGCCUUCUUAAGGCAAACUUGUUUAACUUAUGUCUGUACUCAGAUAUUGUUGCUUCCGCUGACUCGUCUAUGAUCGAGCACUUGUAUUCGAGCCCUCGAGGCCCCUGGCUUGUAUUAUGAUGCUUGUAUGACUUAUUUUAUUUGUAGAGUUGUGUUGUGAUAUCUUCCCGUGAGUCCCUGAUCUUGAUCGUACACAUUUGCGUGCAUGAUUAGUGUACGAUUGAAUCGGGGGCGUCACAAGUUGGUAUCAGAGCCGACUGCCUGUAGGAAUCCCCCUUCCACACUCCUUGGCCGAAGUCGAGUCUAGACAUUACAAAAACUUUUACUAACUUGGCUGUGUGCCUUACGGGCCCACGUCGCCAUCGGGUGGUACUAGGAUCUUUUACUCCUCGACCUUUACUCUGGGACUCUGAUCUCUCCUCUAUUCGGGUUAAAUGAAGUUUACUAAAUCUAACAAUAGGAUCUCGUUAUCACUUUCACCCGGAGAGCCCCUUGUUACUGAUGAUCGUCUGCUGCACCAGAAGACCGUGAAGAUACUCUCCGCUGUUAACCCGAGAACUUAUGUUCAUCGCAUUUGCAAUUCCCCUUCCACCGUCAACCCUUAUGGAUAACCACUUGCAGUUGUUAUUCUUACAUUCAUCCCCAGUUGGUCUUGUUAUUACCAGAUACCUCGAAACACUCGUCGUUGUUUCGAUAAUCCUUUGAGCUUAUCGCCUUGCUGUUCUUUGUCACCUGAAUACCCCUAUGGAUAAUUCUCGCACUUAUCGAGUAUCCGCUCAUCCCCAAGUUGUUCAUGUGUUUCAUAAUGGUCUUCGAAAUACUAAUUGAUCCUCCAAAAAUCCUUAAUAGCUUAUUGCUCUACAAUACUUGUCUGCUUGCAUUAUGGAUGCUUUCCAUAUGUCUGGCAAUAUUCGUUAGUAUCCUUAGGCACCGUCGUUUUGAUCCUAUUGAUUCAGCAUGUGUGCGAAUGCACACAAUCAUCUAUCAACCCUUCUAAAUUAUCCUUCCGGCUCAGACAUCAUUUUUGAACACGAGCUGGUUCUCGACCAAACUAUUUGUCGUCAAUUGUGCCUCUGGUAUAUCCAACUUAUCCAUCCUUGAUCAGAGCGACUGCUUCUGAUCCUUUGUUUUGGAAAUCAAAAUUCCUUUAUUAUCUAAGCAUCGAAUUAUUCCGAUGUUCUAUAAUAUGAUGCCCGUGCAUUCUUCUUCCUCUGGUUGUGUGCCGAUACUCACCCCAGAUCCUUUGUUGGAUUUUAUCCGACAAUGUCCUUCAUAUUCAAUAACCUUGAGCCUUUCCUAGGAUGUAUACCGCCUUUGGUAAAUUGUAUCCCCUGCUUUGUCAACCAUGCUCUGCUAUCGAGCUUGUGUUAUUUACUCCUGAAGUUUGUGGUAUAUGUUCCUAAGAGGCCCGAUGGGUUGGACAUAUGCCUUCUCUAAACUGUGUGAACCCGGAAACUACUACGGGUCAUACUCUACUAGUGUUAUGUCAGAUAAAAUUUCAACACACGAUUUCGUUGAAGGCGAGAAGUGAAUGAAAGAUUAUGUAUUGAGGAAGUGGGAGUCGACCUUGAACCUUGUGUUCAUGCCCAUGGACGCGAUGUAUAUCCUAUCAUGGAAGCUUCUUGUAAUAAUAACUAUUUCCUUGAUAACUAACAUAUGGUAUCUGUGAAUUGAUCCCUUGCAACCGUGGUUCCGACCAUGAUUAUUCUUCUUUGAUUCCAUUUCUCGGACAAGUUAAAACAAUUGUCUUCUAUGGAUCAAUACACCCGUCCAAUCUUUACUUUGAUCUUGUGUCGAGUAUUACCCCUGGUAUCUCAAGUUUAUCAUGGAACUGCAUAACUUCUUAUGAGUUCUUCAUCAAGUGCUACCUUCCCAUUGAUUCCAAUUUUUCACGGGCUCUGAGUUAUUAUACACUCAAAGACACCGAUAACUGAAUCGAGUUCGCAUUGCGAUUCAACAAGUAUUUGAACCCAUCACUGCUUACAAAUUUAUUAAUCCUUCAAGUCAUUCCUAGCCUGAUCGGCCAUAUCAUUAUCGUGCAACUUUUUAACUAUACUACCUGGUCCUUCUUCCCGGAGCACAAUUUUUGAUGAUGAGCUAAGCUUAUGUUGAUUUUCCUCAUCAUAUCAUUUCUCCUUGAACAACAAACUUGAGCUUGAGUUUGUGCCAUAACUAUGGUUCCAAUAAUCAUUCGCUUCACCAUUCGUUUGACUUGAUGUCAUCGCCGAUCGAUUACAUCUUGAAAUCUCUCGACAAAGUGCGUCGUGAUCAUCAUCAACCUUAUGAGCUCUUCCAGGAUAUCAAUUGAAUUCAUGAUGAGAAAUACCAUCCUUGCCCUUGAUGAUCUGUGUUAUCAUCGACCACUUUAUUGCCUUCCCACCAACACAAGCUUGUUCGUGUUUGGUGAUAUACCUUGAGUUCCUUGAUAUCCAGUAAUUGCCCUUCUUUACCUUGGGACAUUAACAUCUCUUAUGACCUCAAUGUUGUGAGAAUUUCACUACCUCUUGAGAACUCUUAAUACAAGUGAUACUUCUCACCAUCACCAUUCUUUCUUGGUCCCCGUGUUGAUUCCAACAAGUGAACGGUGUUGUUUGGAUUCUUUCCUUCUAUCAACCCUAUUGCUUUCAAGUUAAUGGUCGGCCGUUCAUUCUUAGACUAUUGAUUAUUGAAUCACCAUUCUGACAUUGGUCGUGCAACCCAACCCAUAUUUCGGGCGCACCUUUCGACCAAUGUUUAAUUGUGUAUGUUUUACUCGAGCAUACUUCAUUACAUCAUUUGAUCUGACAAAUGCUAUCUCCUUAUCCACAUAAUUGUGGAGAUCCAUCUUUUGGGAUACCUAGUUGAAUUGUCGCUGAGUCCAUCAGCCACCUCCUCAUCCUCUCUUUGGUUUACUGAUGAACUCUUGUUUCGAAGCCUUGCUUCCGUACGUUAUUUCCCGAGAAUCUUACAAUGUCAUCUCGACAAUUUGUGUUGCACCUUUCUUCUCAGGCAUCCUGAGUCUGAGGUAUCCUCACUCCAACCAGAUCUGAAUCUCGGUCAGAUAUGAUGGUUGGAACAUAUUUCCAAGAGUUAUAAUAAUUGUCUUUAUGUGACCCGGUAAGGUGAUGUCGUGCCUAGCACAGCUGGCCGGAGGCCCUAUUGUUAUAUAUUCAGUUUCAGCAAGGUUAUCCAUUCUUCCAUGAGGAAAUGGUAAGACUUAUUCUAUAAGUUGUUUCCGAUGGAUCCUUUGUAUCCAAAAUCUGACAUUUGCUUGAAGACCAUGUCAAUGCUAUCUCGAAGCAUGUCUGUGGUACUCCGAUUUUUAACAAGAACAUUUGAAGCCCAAUGCUAAGAUGUUUGUUUCUCAAUUAUCCAAACGCCGUUGUAUGGGUAAUGUCUUGAAAUUUCUCUCCCCUUACCUAAGGGGUUUUCUAAAAUUAUAUCCUGACAUGAUAUCAUGCUCUGCUUGUCCUUGGGAAGGAUAUAUCCCUGAAAUAUGUGUUUUAACACAUUUUCCUUUUCAUUGUUCUGUUUAAUCUGAUAAUCAUAUUUUCCUUUCCAUUGUUUGAUUUAACCUUUCUUGUGAUCUAUAUGACCUAAGCAGUAAUAUUCUCCUGCUUAUGUAAACACCUCGUGGUACCGCUCUGUCAGUAAGACCAUGUUACUAUUGUUGAUGACAUUCCGGUAGCCACCGAUGGACGAGAACCUUGCCUAUUGGCCCACCUCGUUCAACGAGCAGGAAAAUGGUUCUCUUCAUCCCUCGCCCUUGGUAUCGAUGUUGUUGCCGACAUAACUGAUAGGCUACCCUCUGACACGCCUUACUAUCGUGACCGUGCAAGAUGUCGGCCCCCUUCCUACUUUCAACCACAUGGUGGGCCCAUAACCCACAGUUCCACAGGAUCAAAACCUGACUCUCCUAUACACCCCGUUGUCAAAGUUAUUCUUCGCGUUUGACUUUGUAUGUAAUUCACGGGCCACCAGCCUGUUGAUCUAUUCAGGUACCAGAUGCAAUGCUUAAUCACAUUGCUCUAAACCCCUUCAACAGUUCGUUUCAGACAUUGAACGAUUGCCUGCCCGCUCGAAACUUUCCAUGAUACCUCCUUACCUUACUCUCGCUUUUUUCUUAAGAUUCAAUUUGAGAGUUACUUUCUGCCACCUUCCCCGAUGAUAUCGACCGAUAGUCAACCUUGUAGAGGUUCGUUCUCCCAGAAUACCCCCUUAUUCUUUCGUAAGUAUGAUGGAACCCCCCGAAGAAAGGAUACCGACUUUAUCUUGAUGACUUGAAGCAGUGAAAUGAAGACAUCAACGAAAGGGAUCAACCUCUUCGAAAGGGAAGCCAAGACCGAGAAGACUCGUUAGGUUUUUCGCUACCAACACCUUCGCCCCUUACUCCACCGCUUAAAUCUCGGGACGAGAUUUCUUGUAGUGGAGGAGAUUUGUAACACCCGGAUGAUUAAGCAACAGUGAUCACCUCGGUUACUGUGGCUAACCUCACGUUGAUUCGAACCCGGUCUACAAAUAAAUUCAAAACAAAACCAAAGAUAAAAGGUUUCAAAAACUAAAACUAAAAUGUUCGGGGGUUGUCUAAAAUAGCAAACCUAAUUAUGGUGGGGUGCACAAAAUUUUGUAAAAUGUUUUGGCAUUUUAAU
rnacentral:lncRNA from 1 species